rnacentral:rRNA from 1 species
UACAGAGGUCUCAAGCGUUGUUCGGAUUCAUUGGGCGUAAAGGGUGCGUAGGUGGCGCUGUAAGUGGGGUGUGAAAUCCCGGGGCUUAACCCCGGGACUGCAUUCCAUACUGCGGUGCUUGAGGACUGGAGAGGAGACUGGAAUUUACGGUGUAGCAGUGAAAUGCGUAGAGAUCGUAAGGAAGACCAGUGGCGAAGGCGGGUCUCUGGACAGUUCCUGACGCUGAGGCACGAAGGCCAGGGGAGCAAACGGG